rnacentral:rRNA from 1 species
AUUGAACGCUGGCGGCAUGCCUAACACAUGCAAGUCGAACGGCAGCACGGGGGCGUGCACCGGUUCGCGAGUGGCGAACGGGCGAGUAAGACAUCGGAACAUGUCCUGCAGUGGGGGGGAGCCUGGCGAAAGACGGGGUAAUACCGACUGCGUACUACGGCUGAAAGCGGGGGACGGACGUGCCGGGCGCUAGAGGGUGGGCGGAGGGCUGAUUAGCUAGUUGGUGGGGUAAGGGCCUACCAAGGCGACGAUCAGUAGCUGGUCUGAGAGGACGACCAGCCACACUGGGACUGAGACACGGCCCAGACUCCUACGGGAGGCAGCAGUGGGGAAUUUUGGACAAUGGGCGAAAGCCUGAUCCAGCAAUGCCGCGUGUGUGAAGAAGGCCUUCGGGUUGUAAAGCACUUUUGUCCGGAAAGAAAUCCUUGGCCCUAAUACGGUCGGGGGAUGACGGUACCGGAAGAAUAAGCACCGGCUAACUACGUG